AUUGAACGCUGGCGGCAGGCCUAACACAUGCGAGUCGAGCGGACGAAGGGAGCUUGCUCCUGGAUUCAGCGGCGGACGGGUGAGUAAUGCCUAGGAAUCUGCCUGGUAGUGGGGGAUAACGUCCGGAAACGGGCGCUAAUACCGCAUACGUCCUGAGGGAGAAAGUGGGGGAUCUUCGGACCUCAAGCUAUCAGAUGAGCCUAGGUCGGAUUAGCUAGUUGGUGGGGUAAAGGCCUACCAAGGCGACGAUCCGUAACUGGUCUGAGAGGAUGAUCAGUCACACUGGAACUGAGACACGGUCCAGACUCCUACGGGAGGCAGCAGUGGGGAAUAUUGGACAAUGGGCGAAAGCCUGAUCCAGCCAUGCCGCGUGUGUGAAGAAGGUCUUCGGAUUGUAAAGCACUUUAAGUUGGGAGGAAGGGCAGUAAGUUAAUACCUUGCUGUUUUGACGUUACCAACAGAAUAAGCACCGGCUAACUUCGUG
rnacentral:rRNA from 1 species